GACGAACCGUCCAAAGGUUGUUCGGAAUCACUGGGCUUAAAGGGCGCGUAGGCGGACUGCCAAGUCCGGGGUGAAAUCUUUCGGCUUAACCGGAAAAGGGCCUUGGAAACUGGCGGUCUCGAGGGAGGUAGGGGCAUGUGGAACUUCGGGUGGAGCGGUGAAAUGCGUUGAUAUCCGAAGGAACGCCGGUGGCGAAAGCGACGGGCUGGAUCUCUUCUGACGCUGAGGCGCGAAAGCCAGGGGAGCAAACGGG
rnacentral:rRNA from 1 species